rnacentral:lncRNA from 1 species
GCUCCAUGGUCUUGCUGGGCACAGAAGUGAGACUGACUGGCCUGUACCUCCUCAGGUCUUCCCUUUAAAAAUGGGGGUUAUGUUUCCCCUUUUUUUCAGUCAGUGGGAACUUCACAAGACUGACGUGACUUCUCAGAUACGAUGGAUAGCGGCUUAGCAACUUCAUCUGCCAGUUCUCAGGACCCUCAGAUGUGUCUCAUCAGGUUCCAUGGAAUUCUGCACGUUAGGUUCCUUAGAUGGUUUCAAAGAUGUUCUUUUCCUACAGUGGGUGGUUCUUCUGUCUCCCAGUCCCUUCCUUUGCCUUUUGCAACUUGGGCUGUGUGGCUAGAGCAUUUGUGAAGACUAAGGCAAAAAAAAGCCAUUGAGUAGCUCAGCCUUCUACAUAUCCUAGGAAACAAGAUCUUCCAUUUCCUUCUCGAGAAGGCCCACUUUUUUCCUAGUGUUCCUUUUAUCACUGACAUACUUACAGAAGCCUUUCUUGUUGACUUUGGCAUUUCUGGACAGUUUUAAUUCUAUUUUGAUGGCUUUAGCUUUCCUAACCUGAUCCCUGGCUGUUUGAAAAAUUUCUCUGUAUUUCUCCCAAGCGACCCUUCUUUUCUGUGUUUGACUUUGUCCAGGAUCUCCUUAUUCAUCAGUGCAGGCUUCAUGGCAUUUUUUUUUUUUUAGGAUGCAUUGCUCUUGAGCUUGGAUGAGGUGAUCCAUGAAUAUUAACUACCUGUCUUCUUCCAGCAAGGGGAAAUGCCAGCUGUUGAAGAACUGGAUUCUGGGGUGAAGUCAGAUUGUUGGUGUAAUACUGUCUGUAAUUUCUUGGCAGUGCUCUGUCUUUCACACACUGUGAUUCAAAGGGCAGCGAAGGAAAGAAGGCAGUGGAGGCUGGGUGAAUCGCUGGCAUGGAGUAGAGAAGCUUCAACCUCCAGCCUCCUGCAAAGAUGUCUGUGUCCAUUCCUAAGAGUACAGAUAAAUCCCUUAAAGAAAUCUCUAUACACACAAAAUAUCUCUUAA